UGGUAUCUUUUGUACUGGGAGCACCUAACGUGGGUAAAUGGCUGGGGGAGCAUCGAGCAUUUCACCUUCAUAUUUUCACUUUCUGAGAUGUAGCUGCGGUCCUUACUGUAACUGGGAUCUGACCCAGGUCCUGUUUUCUUUUGGAGCAUUGCUCAGUUGUGAUGUGUUGCAGAAAUAAUGUGAUAAAAUAGUCCAGAUCCCCAAGGUAAUCCUUGAGCAAGGCCUAUUUCCACUCAUCUGAUUUUCUUUAGCUGCCGAUGCUUUGUCAUACUUCUUGGUUAUCAGUUUUCUCAUUAUUCUGUUUUUUAAAAAUGCACUAUUUUUCCAGCAUUCCCAGGAUUUUUACAGAGAACUAUAUUAAUAUGAAUGAUUAACAGCCACAAUUUGAUGCAUUUCAUAUACAAGCAUAUAGCUCGAGUACUACUGUAAAAUUUCCUAGAAACAGUCUUGAACACAACUUUUGUUUUUUAGUGGUGAUAGCAUUGGUAACUACUUUCAAUUUGUCUUGACCUUUGGGUUCUUAUAAAAACUCAUUAGAUGAUUUUUGAGGGAUUUAAGUGUUUUCAAUGGCUUUGACUUUACCCUUGUGUCUCUUUAUUUAUAUUCUACAUCAGUAAUUUUCAGCUUGUUUCCCACAGCUGUUACUUACCUGUGUGAGGCUGUCACAGAGACAGGCCACAGAGCUGGCAGGUCUGGUGGCAUGGAGAGAACUGGCUUGUUGCAGAAGUGUCCCCAUGUUUCCCACACACCAAGGGCCCUGAGGAAGCAAUACCAGAGACGCUGUGAACACAACAGUUAGGAAGGAUGAAAGAGAAGGAAGGAGAUGUGUGAGAAGAGAGAUAUCAACCUGAUUCUGAACACACACCAGCUCUUUACACCUCCAUACGCAGUCAGAUCUGCAGUGAGACCAAAGGAUGGUGCUUUCAUCACAAACUUAGCUCUUUUUGAAAGAGAUCUCCAAGCAUAAAAGAGCCUUUCUAUGUUGCUGGAGCGUAGAAGAAGGGUAUGAAUGAUGUCCGUGUAAAAACGAAUGCACAAUGUCAUGUAAAACACAGCUGACUCCUAACAAUAUGACAACUGAGUUGUAUUGAGCUGUGCUGCAUCUUCUGCAGUAUUUUUCUUUCCAUGUAGCCUUAGGCAAAUACUUCCUUGUUUCUGGUGUUAGUGGUUAGACUGCCACAGAUUUAUCAUGUAUAUUUAUGGGUGAGCUGAAGAAUUUUGAGUUAGUCUGAAGGGCAGGGAAGUUAUUUAGUAGAUAUAUUAAUAUUAAAAAAAGAAAGCAGUCUUCCAAAGUGCGUGGAUUCUAAUCCACAUUCCACAGCCACAUUUUUCAUUAGUAAGAGAGUUGCAGAGUAAGCUGCUGUUUCUCCACAUCUGUAAUACCUCAAAAUGCUGAAGCUACUGGAAAUCAAAGCAAGUAGAAAAGGAUUAAUUGUUGCAUGAAUGUCUGAGGUAAAAUUUCAUUUGAACUUCAGCCUUUACAGGGAAUUUUACUCUUUAGAAUUAUCUCCUGCUAUUAAAAGAUAUAGCUAUUCCUUAAGUAAAUAGAUCACAGUGUACUACAAUUGCUUUGCUGUACUGCAGUUGAAACCUUCCAAAGCAGGAGCUAGGGAACAUCAGUGCAAUUAGUCUGCUUUGCCUGAGUCUCUGCAGGAGAAAAUGACCUUCAUUCUGAUCAGAGAGCAGUCAAAGCCGAGCGCAAGCGGCUUCCUACAGCUCUGCUCCCUGCUGCUUACCCUGGUAGUAAGAACACUCUCUAGAUGCUCCUUUUAUCCAUAUCUUUGUUAAAAUGAUGGGGCAGAUAAGAAGCAUGUUCUUCUCUCAAAACUUUCAAACGCUGAAAGCUCAUUAUCUAGCAAAACAAAAUAGUAACAAAUAAACAAUUGACAAAGAUCAGUGAAUGCCAUAAAAAUAGUUGGGAACUUCCCUCUCUGUUUUUGGUUGGGUUUUUUUAAGCUUUAUUUAUAAAUUUUGUUUUUAUUUAGCAUAAAACAAAUCAUUACAGGAUUUUUAUUCUACAUGAAGUAUUGUUCCAGCAAUAUUCUGUUUAUUAUGGUCAUUAGCUUUAAGGACAAUUCUGUUCCCAUUUCACUGUUGUCACAUGGAACAUGCUGGCAUCACAGUGAAAAAGCCCUUUCAUUGGCAGAAUCAGGCUUUAGCAAUUAAGAGGCUUAGAUUUUAACUGGUUUUCUUUUUUUGUAUUAUACUAUGUCAGACAGAUAAGAUAGGGCAUAAUGAAGGUUCAGAUGGGUUCUCAGGGUAUUUGAAGUUAAACUGAUGUACAUACAUGUUCUGUACACACAUGUUCUUUUUAUCCUUAUGGCUUGCUUACUUCCUUUUGAUAACAAUUUUUAUUUCAAAUUUAUGAAAUCCUCCAUGUGGAUAAAAGCAUGUAUAAUUAUAAUGUAUAAUACAGGUUCUCCCAAAUGAGAAGAAAGCAUUAAUACACAGAUGAUAUUCAAGGCUGUUCUAUAUUGUGCAAUAUGGUAAAUAGGGUGGAGGAAAGCACCCAGAAAUACUGCGUCACAGAAAAGAAAAGGAAGAAAAUCUUCCCACAGAGAGCACUGCUGGGAAGAGGGAAGGGAUCAUUCCAGGCCAUGGGAUAUGACAGCUGUUUUUAGUGGGUUUUGUCAUAGGCUCUUGCUAUACCCCAUCUUCUCAACUGUUAUCCAUCUGGGGGGCUAGGUCUUUACCUGCAAGCAUAGGUUAGGGAGCCCAGCUGCUACCCCUGCCCGCAGCAGCGAGGUCCUUGGAUGCCGGAGAGCAUGUGUCUUACUCGGAUGAUACAAGAGAACAAAAUUUUUCCUCUUACGAUCACGACAAUGCAUAUGCUGCAGACUUGCAAGCUUUCUUGUUCUCCAGCAAGCUUCCAAGCAUUGAAAAUUAUGCAUACUACCACUAGUUUUCACUUAAUUUUUCAGUGUUCCGGUUGUGAGGUUUGUUUUCCAUAUGCUAUGGGUCUGGUGCAUUUUCCAAAAAGGAUCCCAGUAGCUUAGUUUCAAGUCUCAGACAGCUGCUAUAAUUGCUGCCCGGGAGAGGUUCAGUUAGUUGCACACCAAAGGCCUAAUUAGUCUUUUAACAGUUAGAGCUCACCUAGUUAGUGAAAAUAAUUGAAAAUGGUUCCCUCUCCUCUUGCCAUUUCAGGUAGUUCCAUUAUGAGUGCUGGGCUAAAUGUGAAAUUCUCUCUUUCUGAAUUUAAAUGGUCCAUUAUUCCCUAAUUCCCUUGAGUUAGUGGCUGUUGAAAACCUAUGUAGUAUAUUCUAUGUUCUUGCUGGGAGUUGUGAUUUCUUGAGUCAGACUGUUGUAGGAGAAGAGGGAUAUUUUAACUUGAAUUUCAUGUCAGUUCCGACUUUGGAGGUGUGUUACAUACUGGCUAAGUGGUUUGACUUUCCUGGUUACUUUGGGGUGUUAAGUAAGUAUUUAAUAUUCUCCACUGCUGUAUCCAAAAGAAGCUUGAGAGGAGCUGAGGGUGUAAUUUGUCUGUCAGAAUCCAUUUGCUUUUCAGAAGCACUGUCACAAUGGUAAAAAUUAGUGGUUUGUCUUGGGUGCUUUAUAAAGUGUGAUCAAUUUAACAUGCAAAAUCGGAAUCAUCUCGUAACUUUUAUAGCACACUGAUGAAAUCAACUAACUAAUAUGAUUUUUAUUUUUGUUUUUUUUCUAAGAAUUGUCUCUAUUGAGAAACUAUUUUUAACCAACACAAAGAAUUGUAUUCUCUUAAUUUUAUAAGGGAUUUGAAGGUCACUGUAAUGAUCAUUGAAUGAACUUGUAUUGCAAGAAGCAAUAGGCAGAGAGGCUGCUCUUUUACAUUGAUGGAAUUUGCUAAAAUAAAAAAAUUGAUCUGAUUUUCAGCAGUAUAUUUUAGAAUGGUAUGUCAUUAUAUUUUUGACAUGAAAAAAAGUUAUUCACGUAGAGAAGGAUCUGUGAGAUGUUAAGGUUAACAAAAGAUGAGCUAACUGCCUAAUAUGCAGUAGUGUAUGUAUUGCUGGUUACAUAGACUGUGUAGAAAGAAAGAUAAGGACUGAGAUGUGUUGGUUGUUACAGUAUUCCCUGAAUCAUCCUGAUGUUUAAAGUAUGGAUAGGAUAUACCAUAACAUUGUAUGUUCUGCACUGAUCGUUAACACCUAUGUUUUCGUUUUCAUUUCAUACUCAGGCCAAUAAAUUUUAAAAAACCUGCAUAA